GACACACACAGGGGAGAAGCCCUAUGUUUGUGGGGAGUGUGGGCGAAGCUUCAGUCAGAAGCCCCAUCUCAUCUCACACCAGAGGACACACACAGGGGAGAAGCCCUAUGUUUGCGGGGAGUGUGGGAGAAGCUUCAGUCAGAAGCCCCAUCUCAUCUCACACAAGAGGACACACACAGGGGAGAAGCCCUAUGUUUGUGGGGAGUGUGGCCAAAAGUCAUUCAG